rnacentral:snRNA from 1 species
GGAUGUGAGGGCGAUCUGGAUGCAACAUCUGUCAGUCACCCCAUUCAUUGAUCGCCAGGGUUGAUCGGGCUAUCUGGCUGGCUAGGCAGGUGUCCCCCUCCUCCCUCACCAUCCAUGUGUGUCCCUCCCGAAGCUGCACGCUUGGUCGAAGAGGAUGAUCUUCCCCUCAGAGGAGAGGACCGGUCGUCAGUCACGAGUAUAGUAGUAGCUGCGCUCCCCUGCUAGAACCUCCAGACAACUCUCAAUUAAUAGCCUGAUCACCUAGAACUCAUGAAGGUUUGGUUUAACACUUUUGUAAAGAACAGAUCUGUGCAAAGCCUAAGUUUCU